rnacentral:rRNA from 1 species
UUCUGGUUGNNCCUGCCGGACCUGACUGCUAUCGGGGUGAGGCUAAGCCAUGCGAGUCUUACGCCUCCGAGAUGCAGGGGGCGUGGCGUACGGCUCAGUAACGCGUGGUCAACCUACCCCGUGGACGAGGACAACGUCGGGAAACUGACGUUAAUCCCCGAUAGGGAAUAGGUUCUGGAAUGACCUAUUUCUGAAAAGCUGAAGGAGAAUUCUCCUUCAGCGCCACGGGAUGGGACUGCGUCCGAUCAGGUUGAUGGUGGGGUAACGGCCCACCAUGCCUAAGACCGGUACGGGCCCUGAGAGGGGGAGCCCGGAGAUGGACCCUGAGACAAGGGUCCAGGCCCUACGGGGCGCAGCAGGCGCGAAACCUCCGCUAUGCGCGAAAGCGCGACGGGUCACCCCGAGUGCCGACCGCUGAGGUUGGCUUUUCCCUGGUCCAAAAGGCCAGGGGUAAUAAGGGGAGGGCAAGCUUGGUGUCAGCCGCCGCGGUAAUACCAACUCCCCGAGUGGUCAGGGUGUUUACUGGGCUUAAAGCGCCCGUAGCCGGCCCAACAAGUUCCCUGUUAAAUCCGAUGUUCCAAGCAUUGGGCUGCAGGGAAUACUGUUGGGCUUGGGAGCGGGAGAGGUCGGCGGUACCUCCCGGGGAGGGGUAAAAUCCUUAGAUCCGGGGGGGACCAUCAGUGGCGAAGGCGGCCGACCAGAACGCGUCCGACGGUGAGGGGCGAAAGCUGGGGGAGCGAUCCGGAUUAGAUACCCGGGUAGUCCCAGCUGUAAACGAUGCAGGCUAGGUGUGGGGGUAGCUACGAGCUACUCCUGUGCCGUAGGGAAACCGUUAAGCCUGCCGCCUGGGGAGUACGGCCGCAGGGCUGAAACUUAAAGGAAUUGGCGGGGGAGCACCACAAGGGGUGAAGCCUGCGGUUUAAUUGGAGUCAACGCCCGGAAACUUACCGGGGGCGACAGCAGAAUGAAGGCCGGGCUGAAGACCCUGCCAGACAAGCUGAGAGGUGGUGCAUGGCCGUCGCCGGUUCGUACCGUGAGGCGUCCUGUUAAGUCAGGCAACGAACGAGACCCGCGCCGCUAGUUGCUCGGAGGUCUCCGAGGAGACCUUCAGGAAACUGGCGGGACUGCCGCCGCAAGGCGGAGGAAGGAGCGGGCUACGGCAGGUCAGUAUGCCCCGAAUCCCCGGGGCCACACGCGGGCUGCAAUGGUGCGGACAAUGGGAUCCGACCCCGAGAGGGGAAGGCAAUCCCGAAACCGCGCCUCAGUUGGGAUUGAGGGCUGCAACCCGCCCUCAUGAACCUGGAAUCCCUAGUAACCGUGCGUCAUCAUCGCGCGGUGAAUACGUCCCCGCUCCUUGUACACACCGCCCGUC